rnacentral:lncRNA from 1 species
GUGGGAGGUGCUCCCCGAAGUGCUCUUGGCACCCUGUAGUGCCCUUUUGGUUGUGGGGAUGCAAGGAGAGUUCAAACACAAGUUGAAUUUGUUCCUGCCACAGCCUUUCACCUACAGAAAAACUGGCAAAUGCUCAUCAAUGAAUCUGAACCCCUACCUAGACUACCAUCCUCUUGAGGAUCUGCACUCAUAUGCCAAAUGCCUUCCAUGGGCUCAGUGUGGAGUAAGGACUUUCUCCUGGCUUCUGAAUAAAUUGAUUAUGCGGAGUAAGGACUUAUUCCUGGCUUCUGAAUAAAUUGAUUAUCCCAGGAAGGGGAGGAGGGACUGUAAUAUUUUUAUUUUUCUAGAAA